rnacentral:rRNA from 1 species
GCGACCCCAGGUCAGUCGGGACUACCCGCUGAGUU